CUUAUUUUAAUAACAAGAGUGACGGGCGAUGUGUACAUAUUUUAGAGCUAAAAUCAAAAUUAUAAUCUUUUAAUUUUUACUAUCAAAUCCACCUUCAUUUAAAUAUUUAAUUUUAAAAUCCGUUUAAAUAAAUUUAUUGUAACCCAUCUUUUCUUAAAUAUAAGCUACACCUUGAUCUGAUAUAAAUUCUAAAUUAAAUUAUUGAAAAUUAUUAUUCUAAUAAAAUAUUCUGAUAACGACGGUAUAUAAACUGAAAAACAAACUUAAGUAAGGUUCAUCGUGGAUUAUCAAUUACAAGACAAGUUCCUCUGAAUAGACUAAAAUACCGCCAAAUUUUUUAAGUUUCAAGAACAUAACUAAUACUACCUAAGUGUUUAUAAUUACAUUUUAAAUAAUA
rnacentral:rRNA from 1 species